rnacentral:rRNA from 1 species
UACGUAGGGUGCGAGCGUUGUCCGGAAUCAUUGGGCGUAAAGAGCGUGUAGGCGGCUUGGCAAGUCCGCUGUGAAAACUCGAGGCUCAACCUCGAGACGUCGGUGGAAACUGCCUCGCUAGAGUCCGGAAGAGGAGAGUGGAAUUCCUGGUGUAGCGGUGAAAUGCGCAGAUAUCAGGAAGAACACCCGUGGCUAAGGCGGCUCUCUAGUACGGUACUGACGCUGAGACGCGAAAGCGUGGGGAGCGAACAGG